CCUACGGGAGGCAGCAGUGAGGAAUAUUGGUCAAUGGCCGGAAGGCUGAACCAGCCAUGCCGCGUGAAGGUCAGUGCCCUAUGGGCGUUAAACUUCUUUUGUGCGGGAGCAAUAAUGGUCACGUGUGGCCAGACGAGAGUACCGUACGAAUAAGCAUCGGCAAACUCCGUGCCAGCAGCCGCGGUAAUACGGGGGAUGCAAGCGUUGUCCGGAAUUACUGGGUGUAAGGGGAGAGUAGGCGGGACUGCAAGUUGGGUGUCAAAUCUACCGGCUCAACCGGUAGCCGCACUCAAAACUGCAGUUCUUGAGUGAAGUAGAGGCAGGCGGAAUUCCUAGUGUAGCGGUGAAAUGCGUAGAUAUUAGGAGGAACACCAGUGGCGAAGGCGGCCUGCUGGGCUUUUACUGACGCUGAGGCUCGAAAGUGUGGGGAGCAAACAGGAUUAGAUACCCCAGUAGUC
rnacentral:rRNA from 1 species